AACGAACGCUUGCGGCGUGGAUUAGGCAUGCAAGUCGAGCGAGAUUAUUUAGACGGAAGCUUCGGUGGAAGACUAAAUAUGAAAGCGGCGAACUGGUGAGGACAACUUGAGUAAUCUGCCCUAAAGUUCAGAAUAGCCUCGGGAAACUGGGAUUAAUGCUGAAUGUGGUCGUUCCGCUCAUGCGGAAUUGUCUAAAGGCGGGGAUUCCUUCGGGAACCUGUCGCUUUAGGAUGGGCUCAAGGCCUAUCAGCUUGUUGGUAAGGUAACGGCUUACCAAGGCUAAGACGGGUAGCUGGUCUGAGAGGAUGGUCAGCCACACUGGGACUGAGAACUGCCCAG
rnacentral:rRNA from 1 species